UACAGAGGGUGCAAGCGUUGUUCGGAAUUAUUGGGCGUAAAGGGUGCGUAGGCGGUUUGGUAAGUCUUAUGUGAAAUCUACAGGCUCAACUUGUAGUCUGCAUGAGAAACUGCCGGGCUUGAGUGUGGGAGAGGUGAGUGGAAUUCCUGGUGUAGCGGUGAAAUGCGUAGAUAUCAGGAGGAACACCUGUGGCGAAAGCGGCUCACUGGACCAUAACUGACGCUGAUGCACGAAAGCUAGGGGAGCAAACAGG
rnacentral:rRNA from 1 species